rnacentral:rRNA from 1 species
AUUGAACGCUGGCGGCAGGCCUAACACAUGCAAGUCGAACGGUAACAGGAAGCAGCUUGCUGCUUUGCUGACGAGUGGCGGACGGGUGAGUAAUGUCUGGGAAACUGCCCGAUGGAGGGGGAUAACUACUGGAAACGGUAGCUAAUACCGCAUAACGUCGCAAGACCAAAGAGGGGGACCUUAGGGCCUCUUGCCAUCGGAUGUGCCCAGAUGGGAUUAGCUAGUAGGUGGGGUAACGGCUCACCUAGGCGACGAUCCCUAGCUGGUCUUAGAGGAUGACCAGCCACACUGGAACUGAGACACGGUCCAGACUCCUACGGGAGGCAGCAGUGGGGAAUAUUGCACAAUGGGCGCAAGCCUGAUGCAGCCAUGCCGCGUGUAUGAAGAAGGCCUUCGGGUUGUAAAGUACUUUCAGCGGGGAGGAAGGGAGUAAAGUUAAUACCUUUGCUCAUUGACGUUACCCGCAGAAGAAGCACCGGCUAACUCCGUG